GUAAAUUUCAAAUUGCGUCUUCGUAGAUAUACAGAUGACCGAAGCGUAGAGAGAAGAGAUGAAGAUGGAAGAUGAAGAUGGAAGAAAUGGGCGACUACAGUUCCUUUUGCGAGAGAUGUCAACGUCUUCAAUGUCUUCGAGCAGAAUGACUUGGCCGAGGUUUGAGGCAGUGGUCUGUGAUCACGGUCUUGAAGCUGAUGUGGUGACAUCAAAUACGGAUGCCAAUCCCGGACGAUAAUUCUAUCGUUGCCAAGUCUGGAAGGAGGACGAUUACAAAUUCUUUCGUUGGAUUGAUCCAUCGUUGUCACUGAAUCAAGAGUACUUUUAAAAAAAUUGAAGAUGGAUAGGGACAACGUGUAAAGAGCAUUGAGAGACAGAGUUGCUAAGCAGGAUGCACUUGACGAGAACGUCCGUUCCAAAAUCGAUGAAGUUGAAGCACUCCAAGGUGUUGUCGCAGAUUUGCAUCGUCAAAAUCGGAACUUAAAGAUUGUCAUUUGCAUUUUAUGUAUCGUCAUUUGGAUACUGGCGUAGCUUGUCUAAUAGAACCAACGAUUGUAGUAGACUAUGCAAGUUGAAAUCCAAUGUAGUGAAUUUUCCCCUAUGAAUGCAUUGAGUUAUGAGUUUAAAUA